rnacentral:rRNA from 1 species
CAGGCGAUGGUUGUCCUGGGGUGAGCAUGUAGGGCGGAACGUAGGUAAAUCCGCGUUCUAUUCAGCCUGAGAUGUGAUGCCGAGCCGAUUGUGGUGAAGUGGAUGAUCCUAUGCUGCCGAGAAAAGCCUCUAGUGAGUGUUGUGGCGGCCCGUACCCUAAACCGACUCAGGUGGUCAGGUAGAGAAUACCAAGGCGAUCGGGUGAACUGUGGUUAAGGAACUCGGCAAAUUGCCCCCGUAACUUCGGGAGAAGGGGGACCUCUGCUGGUGAUGGGCUUUACGUUCUGAGCUGGUGGGGGUCGCGGUGGCCAGGGGGAAGCGACUGUUUACUAAUAACACAGGUCCGUGCGAAGUCGUAAGACGAUGUAUACGGACUGACGCCUGCCCGGUGCCGGAACGUUAAGGGGACCGCUUAGCCAACGCGAGUUGGCGAAGGUGAGAACUUAAGCGCCGGUAAACGGCGGUGGUAACUAUAACCAUCCUAAGGUAGCGAAAUUCCUUGUCGGGUAAGUUCCGACCUGCACGAAUGGCGUAACGACUUCCCCGCUGUCUCAACCACAGACCCGGCGAAAUUGCACUACGAGUAAAGAUGCUCGUUUCGCGCAGCAGGACGGAAAGACCCCGGGACCUUCACUACAGCUUGACAUUGGCGUUUGGAACGUCUUGUGUAGGAUAGGUGGGAGACUGGGAAGCUGUCACGCUAGUGAUGGUGGAGUCAUUGGUGAAAUACCACUCUGGUCGUUUUGAACGUCUAACUCUGGUCCGUGAUCCGGAUCGGGGACAGUGUCUGGUGGGUAGUUUAACUGGGGCGGUUGCCUCCUAAAGAGUAACGGAGGCGCCCAAAGGUUCCCUCAGCCUGGUUGGCAAUCAGGUGUUGAGUGUAAGUGCACAAGGGAGCUUGACUGUGAGACUGACAGGUCGAGCAGGAGCGAAAGCUGGGACUAGUGAUCCGGCAUCGGCGUGUGGAAGCGGUGUCGCUCAACGGCUAAAAGGUACCCCGGGGAUAACAGGCUGAUCUUCCCCAAGAGUCCAUAUCGACGGGAUGGUUUGGCACCUCGAUGUCGGCUCGUCGCAUCCUGGGGCUGGAGUAGUCCCAAGGGUUGGGCUGUUCGCCCAUUAAAGCGGUACGCGAGCUGGGUUUAGAACGUCGCGAGACAGUUCGGUCCCUAUCCGCUGCGCGCGCAGGAGACUUGAAGGGGGCUGUCCCUAGUACGAGAGGACCGGGACGGACGAACCUCUGGUGUGCCAGUUGUACCGCCAGGUGCACGGCUGGUUGGCUACGUUCGGAAGGGAUAACCGCUGAAAGCAUCUAAGAGGGAAGCUCGCCUUGAGAUGAGGUCUCCCACCCCGUGAGGGGGUAAGGCUCCCGGUAGAUCACCGGGUUGAUAGGCCGGAGGUGGAAGCACGGUAACGUGUGGAGCUGACCGGUACUAAUAGGCCGAGGACUUGACU